GCCGGGGUAGCUCAGUUGGUUAGAGCGUGGGACUCAUAAGCCCAAGGUCGACGGUUCGAUCCCGUCCUCCGGCA
rnacentral:tRNA from 1 species